GACCCGCUCAGAGUCCUGCUUCUACCCGGCUCUGUUCUGGCCCUGGACUCCCUACCCCAGGGUGCAGGGACCCAGCUGGGUACCAGCGCCCCAAGGACACCUCCAGGAAGGGCCCAGCAGUGGCAGACCUAAGAUAAAGGACUGACGAUUGGGACUCACCUUGGCCUCUAUUUCCUCAGAAAAGAUUUGGGGAGGAGUCAGAAGCUGCUCCCACUUUAACGCAGAGGCUAGAGCCGAGUGUGGUGGCGCAUGCCUGUAAUGCCAGCACUCGGGAGGCUGAAGCAGGAGGAUCACUUAAAUUCUCAGUUCAGUGGCCUCACGGAGCUCCACCCUGGGACACCAGCCUGCAGGACUUCCGGCCUGAGCAGCUCUCUACCCUUCCUCCAGCCGGGCAGCAACGUUUAACCUCCCACAGCAAUGAAUCCGGCCUCUCCAGACACCUUGCACAAACGAUUUAGCAUCUUAAAAAAUGAAAGCAGGGCCCACACACAGAAAGAUGCGUCAGCUGUGGGUUUUCUGCACACAUAAGAAGACAGAACCACCCUGACACCAUUCAGAAGCACAGACAGCCCCCUCCUGGCCGCGCUGGACCGGCUCCUUCAUGAUCCGUCCCUGAGACCCAGGUCCGGCUUCCACGUCCUCACAAGUCUCCAACAGCCUCGUGCAGCUCCUCCUCCUUCCUGAGCCAUCCUGUGCCAAGAGACCGAAGCACCAGCUCAGGGACACGUGGCGGGACGGUGCUUGUGCCCUCUCAGCUGGGUGGGCUCCAGCCUGGGCCCCGGGGUGCAGCACCAGGACCAUUCCACACAGGCUUUGUGCAAGGGCAGGGCUGCUCAGAGAGAAAGAGGGAUUGCAACCUCUGCCUCCACCCCACAUGCUUAGGUCUCCUGGGGGCGCUAUGUGGGCUCUGUUGCAGCCCAGCUGGGUUGGCCCAGUGACUGCCAAGCUGAGCUCUGCUUCCCUUGGCCGUCCCACAGCAUCAGUGAGUUUGUGAGGCCCACUCUCGCUUACGGAGACGGAUCCACUCUCACCUGGAGACAGUAAACAGAAAUACUGCAGAGUCGGUACCCAGGCUGCCCUGGCGCUCUGCCUGUACAUCCCGCAUCCUUGGAGGCUCUGGAGAGCUCUGAGUUCCCUCUCAGUUAGGAUCAGAUCGAGAAACCCAGCUAACAGGGAGAACAACUAAAUAAGACAUCAUUUAUGUCAGCACAGGCGGUGCCAUUGGGCACCACUCCGUUCUUCUAUGCUGCUACUGCCUUACUCAGAGAUUGUACAGUCACUGUACUAACACAGCUGUAAUAAGCCGCUCUACGUAGCGGGCAAGUGUUUCUUCCUAAGAGAGUCUUGGCUAUUCUUAGUCCUUUGCAUUUCCAUAUAAAUUAUGAGCAGCUUGUCGAGUUCCCCAAAAGUCUCUGUGGGGAUGGUGAGUGGGAUCACGUUGAGUCAACCUACACGUCAGAUUGAUCAGAGCACCUGGGGGGAGGCUUUGCGUCGGAUGCUGUCAUCCAGGAUCUGGACACAGUCUCACCCGUGUACAACACUACCUUUUCCAUGUGGGCUGGAGGUGUCGGCUUCACACACCACGUCGCCACACCUGCUGUCCAAGUGGACCAGGCUGUGACCCACUGGCCACCGUCGAGGGCCCGGGCAGGAGAGAGGCAUGGUCACCCUGCCCCACUGACACUCUCCAUGGGAACGUUUCGCCAGCAUAAAUCAGCACGCGCCCGUCCUCGUGUGCCUCGGGUCACCCUGCGCUCCAGAGCUGGCAUCACACGCCGCCUCCUCCUGGGGCGCUGGGUCCCUGCAGGGUCUGUUCCCACCCUCCACUCUGGCGCUGCUCAGAAACCGUGCCUCUCUGUCUCGGCUUGGGCCUUGAGUCCUGACUCUGACCUGGAGCCGGAACUCCCUGCGUGGGCAGUGGGUGGGGUCAGCGGCAGAGCGCUCUGAGCAGACUGGAGGCCCUGGGUCCUAUCCCCACAUGGCAAAUAAACAAAAUAC